rnacentral:rRNA from 1 species
AGUGAACGCUGGCGGUAGGCCCAACACAUGCAAGUCGAACGGCAGCACAGUAAGAGCUUGCUCUUACGGGUGGCGAGUGGCGGACGGGUGAGGAAUACAUCGGAAUCUACUUUUUCGUGGGGGAUAACGUAGGGAAACUUACGCUAAUACCGCAUACGACCUACGGGUGAAAGCAGGGGAUCUUCGGACCUUGCGCGAUUGAAUGAGCCGAUGUCGGAUUAGCUAGUUGGCGGGGUAAAGGCCCACCAAGGCGACGAUCCGUAGCUGGUCUGAGAGGAUGAUCAGCCACACUGGAACUGAGACACGGUCCAGACUCCUACGGGAGGCAGCAGUGGGGAAUAUUGGACAAUGGGCGCAAGCCUGAUCCAGCCAUACCGCGUGGGUGAAGAAGGCCUUCUGGUUGUAAAGCCCUUUUGUUGGGAAAGAAAAGCAGCAGGUUAAUACCCCGCUGUUCUGACGGUACCCAAAGAAUAAGCACCGGCUAACUUCGUG